UACGAAGGGGGCUAGCGUUGCUCGGAAUCACUGGGCGUAAAGCGCACGUAGGCGGAUUGUUAAGUCAGGGGUGAAAUCCUGGAGCUCAACUCCAGAACUGCCUUUUGAUACUGGCGAUCUUGAGUCCCGGGAGAGGUGAGUGGAACUGCGAGUGAGAGGUGAAAAUUCGUAGAUUAUUCGCAAAGAAACACCAGUGGCGAA
rnacentral:rRNA from 1 species